GCCGGGCACAGUAGCACAUGCCUGUAAUCCUAGCAGCUUGGGAGGCUGAGACAGGAGGAUCACAAGGUCAAAGCCAGCCUCAGUAAAAAGUGAGGCACUAAACAACUCUGUGAGACCUGUCUCUA
rnacentral:sRNA from 1 species